rnacentral:rRNA from 1 species
CGAAGGUGGCAAGCGUUGUUCGGAUUUACUGGGCGUACAGGGAGCGUAGGCGGUUGGAUAAGCCCUCCGUGAAAUCUCCAGGCUUAACCUGGAAAGUGCAGAGGGGACUGUUCAGCUAGAGGACGGGAGAGGAGCGCGGAAUUCCCGGUGUAGCGGUGAAAUGCGUAGAGAUCGGGAGGAAGGCCGGUGGCGAAGGCGGCGCUCUGGAACAUUUCUGACGCUGAGGCUCGAAAGCGUGGGGAGCAAACAGGAUUAGAUACCCUGGUAGUCCACGCCUUAAACGAUGGAUACUAAGUGUCGGCGGGUUACCGCCGGUGCCGCAGCUAACGCAGUAAGUAUCCCGCCUGGGAAGUACGGCCGCAAGGUUG